UACGUAGGGUGCGAGCGUUGUCCGGAAUUAUUGGGCGUAAAGAGCUCGUAGGCGGUCUGUCGCGUCGAUCGUGAAAACUUGGGGCUUAACCCUGAGCUUGCGGUCGAUACGGGCAUGACUGGAGUUCGGCAGGGGAGACCGGAAUUCCUGGUGUAGCGGUGAAAUGCGCAGAUAUCAGGAGGAACACCGGUGGCGAAGGCGGGUCUCUGGGCCGAUACUGACGCUGAGGAGCGAAAGCGUGGGGAGCGAACAGG
rnacentral:rRNA from 1 species